UGCUAUUUAUUUUAAUAUUUAUAAUUAUUAUCAGUAGCUUUAAGUUAUUACUUUUCAAUAACCACUUUUGCCUACUUAUAUAAUCACACGUAUAGUCAGUGAGCAAAGAAAAAAAUAAAAAGAGAAAGGGAAACAGAAUGAUACAUAGUUAGUAGAGGAAAAUUAGAAGAAGAAAGGAAAUAAGAAUUGUGGAUCGCAAAACCAGAAUCAGAAUUUAGUUCAAUUAUUUAUCAGGAAUAAGAGAUUAGUGAAGUUUUUGGUUGACGUUGGUCGUAGGAACUGCACGUGUUAUCAGGUUCGGCGGCUGACGCGUUUUGACAACCUUCUCCUCCUCAUCAGUUUUGCAUGUAGAUAAAUGUAUAUUCAAUAGAGUGGUGAGAAGGUCCUACUACAGUUUAGAAAGUUUAAAAUAUGUACUUGAUCAAUAGGGGUUUUGAAACUAUAUAAUAUGUGCGCUUUAUGUA